rnacentral:sRNA from 12 species
UUUGAGAGGUCCCCAAAUGAUGCGAAGCAUCAUUUUUGUCAUGGGACCGACGAACUGCCGCUGAAGCGUAGCUGAGGGGGCGAGCACCAUA